rfam:Aedes albopictus isolate Foshan contig147431, whole genome shotgun sequence.
UGCCCAGCAACUCCUAUCCUCAACUCCUCGCGGUACCGGCCGGAAACUAUGACCAACCUUAGGGGAGAUCGGGUUACCAACACCGUUCGGAACUUUGGUCGUAGGCUAACAGGGAAGG